rnacentral:piRNA from 1 species
UGGGCACCUCCUAGUCUCUUAUCUUGCUGC